UUUCCAUUCAUAGGAAGUCAUUCAGAUUCCAAUAGAGAAAUGCAUCGAACGUCAGGAACUCAGAAUUAUCUAUUUCGGAAAAAUGGUCUCAAGCCAUUUUAAACUGGAAGAAAACUAUUGGUUCCCUCUCUCUUUAGUCUUUCACUGGAUUGGAACUUGCAGUGUGGCCCGCUUUGAGGAAACGGUGACAUGGCAAAUCAUUGCCAUCGCUUUUAUGCCAGUCAGGUGACUGAAAGAAAUCGAGAGGGCCGUUCAUCGAGGGGACCAGUUUCACUCUUUAAUUUUUGUAUUUUUUUUUCGGUAAAGCUUUUAGUUACUACCAUUAGAAUUAGAAUAUAGAAUGAUAGAAUAAUAGAUCAUCAGAUCAGCAAUUCAGCAAUCAUCAUCGGGGGAAUUCGCCGUUCAAAGCUUUCUCUCUCUCCACUACAAAGAUUCUAAGCACGAAUCAGUCAGAUGGUCAGCUCGCCGUCUAUAACCCGGCAAGAUUCUAAAACCGAAAACAAAGGAAUGUACCAGCGAAACUACGUUUUCUGAAGAGAAAAAAAAGCAUGGAAAGGAAUAUGAGAAAGCAUUCUCUUCUUAUCAUUUACCAUCUUUGAUUCAAAGAACGAACCAACACGUUCAUUGCCGCUGCGUGCAAGUUGAUGUGACCACUCGACGAAGGAUAUAUGUUCUGACCAUGUCCAUGCGAAACCGUCUUGUUUUCGCCAUCGAAUCUCCGGAUCACAACUCGCGAGUUCUUAACCUUACUGAAGUUUCGAAUUCUCCGCUUUGUUUACUUCCACGAUGACCCGAGAGUCGUUGGAAGGUCCAACCACCACAGAUCUUCUUUGCAACGCCUGUGCAGGUGCAGCCGCAGGAGCUAUUGCUGCCACAUUUGUAUGCCCUUUGGACGUGAUCAAGACAAGGCUUCAGGUACAUGGGCUGCCCAAUGUGCCUCAUUCUGGUAACAGAGGUAGCCUCAUUGUCUCUAGCCUGCAAAACAUAAUAAAGAAUGAGGGCGUGAGGGGAAUGUAUCGUGGUCUUUCUCCAACAAUAUUGGCACUACUUCCAAAUUGGGCAGUGUACUUCACAGUUUAUGGGAAGCUCAAAGCCCUGCUUCAUUCCUAUGUGGAUGAGGAUAACCAACUCACAAUUGGUGCAAAUAUGAUAGCUGCCUCAGGUGCUGGCACAGCCACAGCUAUUUCAACUAAUCCAUUAUGGGUUGUUAAGACCCGACUCCAAACGCAGGGAAUGAGGUCAGGUGUGGUUCCUUAUAAAAGUAUACUUUCUGCUUUGAGAAGGAUCUCACAUGAAGAGGGGAUUCGAGGAUUAUACAGUGGCCUUUUGCCUGCACUGGUUGGGGUAAGCCAUGUUGCUAUCCAGUUUCCAGCAUAUGAGAAUAUGAAGGCUUACUUGGCAAGAAGAGAAAAUACAACAGUUGAUAAGCUGACUCCAGGACAUUUCGCCAUAGCCUCCUCAGUAUCUAAAAUACUUGCUUCCACAAUGACUUACCCCCACGAGGUUGUGCGUUCAAGACUGCAAGAGCAGGGACAAGCUCGCAAUCCUGAGGUCCACUAUGCAGGUGUAAUUGACUGCAUUAAAAAGGUGUUCCACAAGGAGGGUUUGCCUGGCUUUUACCGUGGCUGUGCCACUAACCUGUUUAGAACGACUCCAGCAGCCAUUAUUACCUUUACUAGUUUUGAAAUGAUUCAACGGUUUUUGCACGGUAUUUUAUCUCAUGACCAACACUCACAAGCCCAUCCAAAGUCGGAUAGUCGUGUGAAGCCCCAGAAAGAAAGUGGAGGGGCCCGAGAAGAGGAAGACAAUGAACAUUUCCAGUCCUCGCAUACUCAAUUGAAUAAGAGGAGCUCUUCAAUUCCUCUAGAGGCAAUGAAUAGCUAACACCUACACACUUAUUAAACUUUUUCUUUUUUUCACCAUGUUCGAGGGAUGAACCUUUACAUGUUAAGGAGAACAUACAUGCGAGUGCCAUGAGGCAUUAGUGGUCGUGGCACCGACACAAAUGUUGCUUGCCUUCAGGGAUAGAUGAAAUAUGCUCAAGUUGCUGGAGUCGAAUUGUUUUGUUCUUGGAAUUGGUAAUAAAAAUUAAUAGUAGAGGCAUCGAAUUCGAGAAAGAGUUUUAUA